CCUACGGGAGGCAGCAGUGGGGAAUCUUAGACAAUGGGGGCAACCCUGAUCUAGCCAUGCCGCGUGAGUGAUGAAGGCCUUAGGGUCGUAAAGCUCUUUCGCCUGUGAUGAUAAUGACAGUAGCAGGUAAAGAAACCCCGGCUAACUCCGUGCCAGCAGCCGCGGUAAU
rnacentral:rRNA from 3 species